AUUGAACGCUGGCGGCAGGCCUAACACAUGCAAGUCGAACGAGUGGCGGACGGGUGAGUAAUGUCUGGGAAACUGCCCGAUGGAGGGGGAUAACUACUGGACACGGUAGCUAAUACCGCAUACCAUCGGAUGUGCCCAGAUGGGAUUAGCUAGUAGGUGGGGUAAAGGCACACCUAGGCGACGAUCCCUAGCUGGUCUGAGAGGAUGACCAGCCACACUGUAACGGAGACGCGGUACAGACUCCUACGGGAGGCAGCAGUGGGGAAUAUUGCACAAUGGACGCAAGCCUGGUGCAGCCAUGCCGAGUGUGUGAAGAAGUUCUUCGGGUUGGAAAGCUCAUUCAGCGGGUAGGCGUUACCCGCAGAAGAAGCACCGGCUAACUCCGUGCCAGCAGCCGCGGUAAUAC
rnacentral:rRNA from 1 species